rnacentral:rRNA from 1 species
CUGGCGCACGGCGCACGGGUGCGUAACACGUGGGUAAUCUGCCCUUCGAUGGGGAAUAACUCGCCGAAAGGCGAGCUAAUUCCGCAUAACAUUCCGGGAACUUCGGUUCUUUGGAUUCAAAGGCGUAAGUCGUCGGAGGAGGAGCCCGCGCACGAUUAGCUAGUUGGUGAGGUAAUGGCUCACCAAGGCUUUGAUCGUUAGCUGGUCUGAGAGGAUGGCCAGCCACACUGGAACUGAGACACGGUCCAGACUCCUACGGGAGGCAGCAGUGGGGAAUCUUGCACAAUGGGCGAAAGCCUGAUGCAGCGACGCCGCGUGGGGGAUGAAGCUUCUCGGAGUGUAAACCCCUUUCGACCCGGACGAAUGCCCCGCAAGGGGACUGACGGUACGGGUAUAAGAAGCCCCGGCUAA